ACGAACGCUGGCGGCGCGCCUAACACAUGCAAGUCGAACGAGCGAGAGAGAGCUUGCUUUCUCAAGCGAGUGGCGAACGGGUGAGUAACGCGUGAGGAACCUGCCUCAAAGAGGGGGACAACAGUUGGAAACGACUGCUAAUACCGCAUAAGCCCACGGGUCGGCAUCGACCAGAGGGAAAAGGAGCAAUCCGCUUUGAGAUGGCCUCGCGUCCGAUUAGCUAGUUGGUGAGGUAACGGCCCACCAAGGCGACGAUCGGUAGCCGGACUGAGAGGUUGAACGGCCACAUUGGGACUGAGACACGGCCCAGACUCCUACGGGAGGCAGCAGUGGGGAAUAUUGCACAAUGGGGGAAACCCUGAUGCAGCGACGCCGCGUGGAGGAAGAAGGUCUUCGGAUUGUAAACUCCUGUUGUUGAGGAAGAUAAUGACGGUACUCAACAAGGAAGUGACGGCUAACUACGUGCCAGCAGCCGCGGUAAAACGUAGGUCACAAGCGUUGUCCGGAAUUACUGGGUGUAAAGGGAGCGCAGGCGGGAAGACAAGUUGGAAGUGAAAUCCAUGGGCUCAACCCAUGAACUGCUUUCAAAACUGUUUUUCUUGAGUAGUGCAGAGGUAGGCGGAAUUCCCGGUGUAGCGGUGGAAUGCGUAGAUAUCGGGAGGAACACCAGUGGCGAAGGCGGCCUACUGGGCACCAACUGACGCUGAGGCUCGAAAGUGUGGGUAGCAAACAGGAUUAGAUACCCUGGUAGUCCACACCGUAAACGAUGAUUACUAGGUGUUGGAGGAUUGACCCCUUCAGUGCCGCAGUUAACACAAUAAGUAAUCCACCUGGGGAGUACGACCGCAAGGUUGAAACUCAAAGGAAUUGACGGGGGCCCGCACAAGCAGUGGAGUAUGUGGUUUAAUUCGACGCAACGCGAAGAACCUUACCAAGUCUUGACAUCCUGCGACGAUGCUGGAAACAGUAUUUUCCUUCGGGACGCAGAGACAGGUGGUGCAUGGUUGUCGUCAGCUCGUGUCGUGAGAUGUUGGGUUAAGUCCCGCAACGAGCGCAACCCCUGUUUCUAGUUGCCAGCAUGUAAAGAUGGGAACUCUAGAAAGACUGCCGUAGAUAAUACGGAGGAAGGUGGGGAUGACGUCAAAUCAUCAUGCCCUUUAUGACUUGGGCUACACACGUACUACAAUGGCGUUAAACAAAGAGAAGCAAGACCGCGAGGUGGAGCAAAACUCAGAAACAACGUCCCAGUUCGGACUGCAGGCUGCAACUCGCCUGCACGAAGUCGGAAUUGCUAGUAAUCGUGGAUCAGCAUGCCACGGUGAAUACGUUCCCGGGCCUUGUACACACCGCCCGUCACACCAUGAGAGUUGGGGAUACCCGAAGCCUGUGAGCCAACAGUUAAAUGGGGCAGCAGUCGAAGGUAGAAUCAAUGAUUGGGGUG
rnacentral:rRNA from 1 species